GCCAGACUCCUACGGGAGGCAGCAGUGAGGAAUAUUGGUCAAUGGCCGCAGGGCUGAACCAGCCAAGUCGCGUGAGGGAUGACGGUCCUAUGGAUUGUAAACCUCUUUUGUCAGGGAGCAAAGGACGCCACGUGUGGCGUUCCGAGAGUACCCGAAGAAAAAGCAUCGGCUAACUCCGUGCCAGCAGCCGCGGUAAUACGGAGGAUGCGAGCGUUAUCCGGAUUUAUUGGGUUUAAAGGGUGCGUAGGCGGACGCUUAAGUCAGCGGUAAAAUUGCGGGGCUCAACCUCGUCGAGCCGUUGAAACUGGGUGCCUUGAGUGGGCGAGAAGUACGCGGAAUGCGUGGUGUAGCGGUGAAAUGCAUAGAUAUCACGCAGAACUCCGAUUGCGAAGGCAGCAUACCGGCGCCCAACUGACGCUGAAGCACGAAAGCGUGGGUAUCGAACAGGAUUAGAUACCCCAGUA
rnacentral:rRNA from 1 species